rnacentral:rRNA from 1 species
GGCCAAGCAAGAAAGAGCGCAGGGUGGAUGCCUUGGCACUAAGAGCCGAUGAAAGACGUGAUAAGCUGCGAAAAGCUUCGGGGAGGAGCAAAUAUCCUAUGAGCCGGAGAUAUCUGAAUGGGGAAACCCACAUGAGCAAACCUCAUGUAUCCAUACGCCAAUCCAUAACGUAUGGAAGGGAACCGGGGGAACUGAAACAUCUAAGUACCCCGAGGAGAAGAAAGAAAACUCGAUUUCCUAAGUAGCGGCGAGCGAACGGGAAAGAGCCUAAACCGUCAUGCGUGCAUGGCGGGGUUCGGACUGC